rnacentral:rRNA from 1 species
CCUACGGGGGGCUGCAGUGGGGAAUAUUGGACAAUGGGGGGAACCCUGAUCCAGCCAUGCCGCGUGUGUGAAGAAGGCCCUCGGGUUGUAAAGCACUUUCAGUGAGGAAGAACGCCUGGUGGUUAAUACCCAUCAGGAAAGACAUCACUCACAGAAGAAGCACCGGCUAACUCCGUGCCAGCAGCCGCGGUAAUACGGAGGGUGCGAGCGUUAAUCGGAAUUACUGGGCGUAAAGCGCGCGUAGGUGGCUUGAUAAGCCGGUUGUGAAAGCCCCGGGCUCAACCUGGGAACGGCAUCCGGAACUGUCAAGCUAGAGUGCAGGAGAGGAAGGUAGAAUUCCCGGUGUAGCGGUGAAAUGCGUAGAGAUCGGGAGGAAUACCAGUGGCGAAGGCGGCCUUCUGGACUGACACUGACACUGAGGUGCGAAAGCGUGGGUAGCGAACAGGAUUAGAUACCCCGGUAGUC